rnacentral:rRNA from 1 species
GACGAACGCUGGCGGCGUGCUUAACACAUGCAAGUCGAGCGAAGCCUUCGGGCUUAGCGGCGGACGGGUGAGUAACGCGUGGGAACGUGCCCUUUGGUACGGAAUAGCCCCGGGAAACUGGGAGUAAUACCGUAUGUGGUCGAGAGACGAAAGAUUUAUCGCCAAAGGAUCGGCCCGCGUUGGAUUAGGUAGUUGGUGGGGGAAUGGCCUACCAAGCCGACGAUCCAUAGCUGGUUUGAGAGGAUGAUCAGCCACACUGGGACUGAGACACGGCCCAGACUCCGACGGGAGGCAGCAGUGGGGAAUCUUAGACAAUGGGGGAAACCCUGAUCUAGCCAUGCCGCGUGAUCGAUGAAGGCCUUAGGGUUGUAAAGAUCUUUCAGUGGGGAAGAUAAUGACUGUACCCACAGAAGAAGCCCCGGCUAACUCCGUGCCAGCCGCCGCUGUAACAC